rnacentral:rRNA from 1 species
UACGGAGGGUGCGAGCGUUGUCCGGAAUCACUGGGCGUAAAGGGCGCGUAGGCGGCGCAGGAAGUCAGCGGUGAAAGUUCGGGGCUCAACCCUGAAUCGGCCGUCGAUACUCCUGGGCUCGAGCACGGUAGAGGCAGAUGGAAUUCCGGGUGUAGCGGUGGAAUGCGUAGAGAUGCGGAGGAACACCGAUGGCGAAGGCAGACCCCUGGGCUGACACUGACGCUCAGGCACGAAAGCGUGGGGAGCAAACAGG